GUCCGUAAGUUUGGUUAAGUAAAGUCUGGCCUGCCCACUGAAUUAUUAAAGGGCCGCGGUAAUUUGACCGUGCGAAGGUAGCAUAAUCAUUAGUCUUUUAAUUGGAGGCUUGAAUGAACGGUCGGAUGAGGGAUUAACUGUCUCUUUAACUAGAUAGAAUUUAACUUUUAAGUGAAAAGGCUUAAAUGUACUAAGGGGACGAUAAGACCCUAUAAAACUUAAUACAUACUUGACAAAGUUUAAGAAUUUAAUUUAAGUUGAGUUUAUAAGGUUUGUAUUUCGUUGGGGAGACGAUGAUAUAAUUGUAACUGUCAUUAAUAUAUAAUAAAAAUAAUUAGAUUUUGAUCCUUUAUUAAAGAUUUAAAGAUUAAGUUACUUUAGGGAUAACAGCGUGAUUUUCUUUGAGAGUUCUUAUCGACAAGAGUAGUUGCGACCUCGAUGUUGAAUUAAAAUUUCUGGUAAGGUGCAGUAGCCUACCAAGUGGGUCUGUUCGACCUAUAAUAUUUC
rnacentral:rRNA from 1 species